AUUGAACGCUGGCGGCAUGCCUUACACAUGCAAGUCGAACGGCAGCACGGGAGCAAUCCUGGUGGCGAGUGGCGAACGGGUGAGUAAAGCAUCGGAACGUGCCCAGUCGUGGGGGAUAACGUAGCGAAAGCUACGCUAAUACCGCAUACGAUCUGUGGAUGAAAGCGGGGGACCGUAAGGCCCCGCGCGAUUGGAGCGGCCGGUGUCAGAUUAGGUAGUUGGUGAGGUAAAGGCUCACCAAGCCGACGAUCUGUAGCUGGUCUGAGAGGACGACCAGCCACACUGGGACUGAGACACGGCCCAGACUCCUACGGGAGGCAGCAGUGGGGAAUUUUGGACAAUGGGCGCAAGCCUGAUCCAGCAAUGCCGCGUGCAGGAUGAAGGCCUUCGGGUUGUAAACUGCUUUUGUACGGAGCGAAACGGCUUCCACUAAUACUGGGGGCUAAUGACGGUACCGUAAGAAUAAGCACCGGCUAACUACGUGCCAGCCGCCGCGGUAACAC
rnacentral:rRNA from 1 species